rnacentral:lncRNA from 1 species
GCCUGAUUCAAUUAAAACAGAUAGGCUAUAUAUUGAUACCAGCAUAUAUAGUUCAAUUAUAGAACGUGGGCACAACUCAGACAAAACAAUCACAGAACACAUGAGGAAUUGAUGAAACUCCAGUCAACACAGGCCUGAUUCAAUAGUUCAAUUAAUGUAUUCAAUUCCUCUAAGCGACUAGUUGACUAAGCCUAAGGUAUUCAAUUAACUCCAAACGAAGACGGAAAAACAAUCGAUUAAGAUUUAAGAGGACCUUGAGCUCUAGAAACAGGAGGCGUGGCCGUGUGGAGUGGUAGAGAUGGCUUGGUGGAGUCAGGUGGGACUGAGCGUUUGAGCCUUAGAGAGUAACCAUGGCGUCGCAGCGAGGGACGUCAGAGAGAGUUGUGGUGAGGGACUGAGGGAGUCGCGGCGGGACGGAGCCUCAGUGUCAGUGGGAGUGGCGGCGGCUGCGAGAGUGAUUCUCACUUCUUAGACCGUGACUGAGUGUCGAGACCUAGUCUCCUCGAGUCGA